rnacentral:lncRNA from 1 species
AGACAUUGGAGGAGGCCACUCUCCCUGUCACUUGCCAACACCCAAAACAGUUUGCUUGGCGUUUUCAGAAGGGUCAGUCUCCUCAUUUGCAGCCACCAUUGAUGUGUUUGCUGAAAAAAUAGAUCUGAGCCGUCUGCUUUGCUUCAGCUAGGGACUAGAAGAUAUACCCAGCCUCUCCGGUUUGGUUUGGGUUGGUUUGGUUUUUCAAAGUAGAAGACCAUCUGGGGCUCAAGCUCAGCGGUAAAGCACUUGCCUAGGGAGUAUGUGAUCCUCUUGAUUUGAUCCCCAGUGAUGGGGCGGGGGGCGGGGGGGGGGGCGGAAUUAGGUACAAUCCCUUAAAUGUUGAUGCAGAGAUGUGGUGGCACAUGCCUGUAAUCCCAGCAGUCGGGAAGCAGAGGCAGGAAAAUCCGGACUUGGGGGUCAUCCUUAGCAUGAGCAGGUGAGACCAGCUUGGGCUAUAAGACAAAUGAUCCCAGACUGGGGCGGGGCGUGAGAGUGCUUGUGUAGUGCUUGGGGAGGCUCCGUGGUCUUCAGUCCUAGCACCGUAACUAAGUAAACAGGUAAAUCGUUGUUAAGAAGAGGAUGCGGAUGAAAUGUCAGCUGUGUCCACGUGUCCACGUGCCCUUGAAAACAACGGCGGGACAGAAUCUGCUGCCAUUGUUAGAAAGGAUAGCUGUACCUGGAGGCAGAUCUGAGAGGAAGGUGGCUAUUUUGCACUUUUGAUACUACUAAGAACAAAUAAUUUAUUUGACAAAUUGUGUCUUUUAUGUUUUAUGUUUUUCCUUUUCAGUUUUGUUUGGUUUGGUUUUGUAUUGUGAACAGGCACUAAAGCUAAUGUUAUUUUGUUUUAAGAAUAUUACGGACUGGAAACAAAUAAACUAUUUUAAUGUGUG